UACGGAGGAUCCAAGCGUUAUCCGGAUUUAUUGGGUUUAAAGGGUGCGUAGGCGGCCUUGUAAGUCAGGGGUGAAAGACGGCAGCUCAACUGUCGCAGUGCCUUUGAUACUGCAAGGCUUGAAUACACUUGAAGUAGGCGGAAUGUGACAAGUAGCGGUGAAAUGCAUAGAUAUGUCACAGAACACCGAUUGCGAAGGCAGCUUACUAAAGUGUGAUUGACGCUGAGGCACGAAAGCGUGGGGAUCAAACAGG
rnacentral:rRNA from 1 species